rnacentral:rRNA from 1 species
AAACUCGGGCUAAUACCGGAUAAGUCGUGGGAGCUCUCGGGCACCCGACGGGAAAGGUCCGCAAGGGCUACCAAUGGACGAGCUCGCGGCCAUCAGCUUGUUGGUGAGGUAAUGGCUCACCGAAGGCUAAGACGGGUAGCUGGUCUGAGAGGAUGAUCAGCCACACGUGGAACUGAGACACGGUCCCAGACUCCUACGGGAGGCAGCAGUGGGGAAUAUUGCGCAAUGGGCGAAAGCCUGACGCAGCCACGCCGCGUGUGCGAUGAAGGUCUUCGGAUCGUAAAGCACUGUGGAGGGAGAAGAAUAAAGCCGGUGAAGAGCCGGCCCUGACGGUAUCCCUUUAGCAAGCACCGGCUAACUCCGUG